CCUACAUAGUACAGAUGUGCAGAUUGUAAGGAUCACCAUUUUAGACACAUCAUCUUUGAAGAUUUGUAGUUAAAAUCUCAAAGUCCAGAAGCAAAACCUUUGGCUGGCUGUUUUCAAUACUAACUCUAACUUCUGGAUGUCCUGAAAUACCAAAAUUAUUUCACUACUUUACACCUGAGAUGCUUUUGAUAUAUUGACUAUUUCUUUGGCUGGUUGCUAACUAGAGGCUUAUUCACUUUUUUUUUUUUUUUUAGGGUUACAUCUUUUUAACCUCUUCCUGCUCUGUUUCCCAAAAGGGCGAGGCUGAACUGAAAUGAAGUAAUAGGAAGAAUUCUGUGGAAUGUGGGCUUUCAUGGCUCUGGUGCACUGAUAAUCUUUGUGACUACAGAUCGACAGAGGAGAUGGCAUUCCCAGGACGGCAGUGUGUCUAUUUUAACCUCACAGAUGCCUUUAUACCACAGCCUGGAGGACUGCAUUCUACUUUGUAUAUGGCCCUCUUACUUUCUGAAACACUACAGAGAACUCUGUUUGCCUCACGUAGUAUCACCAAAGAAUGAAAGAUUCCAAACAAACACAUUUCCCAGUUAAUCAGUGUAUUUACUGGGACUCAACAAAGAGUCCAGUCUGCAGCCAAAUAGAAGUGUUUGUAUGUAUGUGUGAUGGAAGUAUUCCUACAGUAUGUUACUUUCCUGAAUGUAGGGUUUAAAGAAAAUAAUCUACAUAAUGUUUGGAUGA